rnacentral:rRNA from 1 species
GCAGCCGCGGUAAUACGUAGGGGGCGAGCGUUGUCCGGAAUGACUGGGCGUAAAGGGCGCGUAGGCGGCUUAGUAAGUUAGAGGUGAAAGUCCAGCUUUCAAGGUUGGAAUUGCCUUUAAUACUGCUGAGCUUGAGUGCGGAAGAGGUAAGUGGAAUUCCCAGUGUAGCGGUGAAAUGCGUAGAGAUUGGGAGGAACACCAGUGGCGAAGGCGACUUACUGGGCCGUAACUGACGCUGAGGCGCGAAAGCGUGGGGAGCGAACAGGAUUAGAUACCCC